GGCCCCGGGCUGGAGCUGCAGCCCGUGAAGAGGAGCCCACGCAGGAGCAGGGGGUCUGGGGGGAGCUGUCACCCACCCGUGCUGGAGCAGUUUGCUCCCGGGGGAUGGACCCUGUGGUACGGAGGUGUGUUGGAGCAGUUCUUGAAGAGCUUCAGCCUGUGGGCAGCCCCCGCAGGCUCAGUUUGGGAAGGACGGCAUCCUGUGGAGGGGACACCACAUGGAGCAGGGGCAGAGUGGCUGAGAAGGAGCAGCAGAGACAAAGUGCUAUGAACUGACCCAGCCCCUACUCCCUGUCCCCUGCACCACUCAGGGGGAGGAGGUGGAAAAGGGUGGAUGGGGGAAAGUGGUUUUGAUUUCUUUCCUUUGUUUUUCACUUCUCUAGCUUGUUAGUAAUAGGCUAUAAAUCUUACUGUCUCCCUACUCUGAGUCUGUUUUGCACAUCAUGAUAAUUGUUGAGUGACGUCCACGUCCUUGUCUCAACCCUUGAGCCCUUUUCAUUGUAUUUUCUCCCCCUUUCCUUUUCAGGAGGGGGAGUGAGAGAACAGCUGUGGUUGAGCUUGGCUGCCCACCUGUGUAAAACCACCAUAUCUUCUGAGGAAGAGGUUAAUGUAGAAACUACAAGCCUUCUUUGACUGAUGGUUCUCACCCUGGUCUUUACAUAUGAUCUGGCCCCACUUAUGUGCUUUUCUCAUGCACUGUGAAAAUGACCUUCCACAACAACUGUCAGGGGUUUGCUGUCUCUACUUCUGCUCUCAAGUCACAGGGAAGGAUUUUCAAGAAGGCACUUGAAUGUACUUGAAGGUAAGCUUAAAUUUAAAAUUUAAGCCUUCUUUCUAGAAUUGCAGUCUUAGACUGGCUUUCAUGAGUCUGUGAAGUAAGGAUGGGAUUUAUGUUCUAUAAUUUUAGCCACUUAACCACUUUUAAGGCUCUCUUUUUAUUUCAUCAAGGUAUUUCCAGGGAGCUUCCUUCUUGUCUGAGAAUACAUGACUGUGACAGAUACAUUACUCUCCAGGCUCAUUUAGGACCAAAGUUGUUUAGAAUAACUGUGAAAAAUUCAUUGGUUUGA
rnacentral:lncRNA from 1 species